UUCCUGGAGGACUAGUGGUUAGGCCUCGGCGCUGUCACCACCAUGGCCUGGGUUCGAUUCCCGCCCAGGGAA
rnacentral:tRNA from 1 species